rnacentral:rRNA from 1 species
UGCUCCCGGAUGUUAGCGGCGGACGGGUGAGUAACACGUGGGUAACCUGCCUGUAAGACUGGGAUAACUCCGGGAAACCGGAGCUAAUACCGGAUAGUUCCUUGAACCGCAUGGUUCAAGGAUGAAAGACGGUUUCGGCUGUCACUUACAGAUGGACCCGCGGCGCAUUAGCUAGUUGGUGGGGUAAUGGCUCACCAAGGCAACGAUGCGUAGCCGACCUGAGAGGGUGAUCGGCCACACUGGGACUGAGACACGGCCCAGACUCCUACGGGAGGCAGCAGUAGGGAAUCUUCCGCAAUGGACGAAAGUCUGACGGAGCAACGCCGCGUGAGUGAUGAAGGUUUUCGGAUCGUAAAGCUCUGUUGUUAGGGAAGAACAAGUGCGAGAGUAACUGCUCGCACCUUGACGGUACCUAACCAGAAAGCCACGGCUAACUACGUGCCAGCAGCCGCGGUAAUACGUAGGUGGCAAGCGUUGUCCGGAAUUAUUGGGCGUAAAGGGCUCGCAGGCGGUUUCUUAAGUCUGAUGUGAAAGCCCCCGGCUCAACCGGGGAGGGUCAUUGGAAACUGGGAAACUUGAGUGCAGAAGAGGAGAGUGGAAUUCCACGUGUAGCGGUGAAAUGCGUAGAGAUGUGGAGGAACACCAGUGGCGAAGGCGACUCUCUGGUCUGUAACUGACGCUGAGGAGCGAAAGCGUGGGGAGCGAACAGGAUUAGAUACCCUGGUAGUCCACGCCGU